rnacentral:rRNA from 1 species
AGUGAACGCUGGCGGUAGGCCUAACACAUGCAAGUCGAACGGCAGCACAGUAAGAGCUUGCUCUUACGGGUGGCGAGUGGCGGACGGGUGAGGAAUACAUCGGAAUCUACUUUUUCUUGGGGGAUAACGUAGGGAAACUUACGCUAAUACCGCAUACGACCUACGGGUGAAAGCAGGGGAUCUUCGGACCUUGCGCGAUUCAAUGAGCCGAUGUCGGAUUAGCUAGUUGGCGGGGUAAAGGCCCACCAAGGCGACGAUCCGUAGCUGGUCUGAGAGGAUGAUCAGCCACACUGGAACUGAGACACGGUCCAGACUCCUACGGGAGGCAGCAGUGGGGAAUAUUGGACAAUGGGCGCAAGCCUGAUCCAGCCAUACCGCGUGGGUGAAGAAGGCCUUCGGGUUGUAAAGCCCUUUUGUUGGGAAAGAAAAGCAGCAGGUUAAUACCCCGCUGUUCUGACGGUACCCAAAGAAUAAGCACCGGCUAACUUCGUG